rnacentral:rRNA from 1 species
CGAGCGAACAGACGAGGUGCUUGCUCCUCUGACGUUAGCGGCGGACGGGUGAGUAACACGUGGAUAACCUACCUAUAAGACUGGGAUAACUUCGGGAAACCGGAGCUAAUACCGGAUAAUAUAUUGAACCGCAUGGUUCAAUAGUGAAAGACGGUUUUGCUGUCACUUAUAGAUGGAUCCGCGCCGCAUUAGCUAGUUGGUAAGGUAACGGCUUACCAAGGCAACGAUGCGUAGCCGACCUGAGAGGGUGAUCGGCCACACUGGAACUGAGACACGGUCCAGACUCCUACGGGAGGCAGCAGUAGGGAAUCUUCCGCAAUGGGCGAAAGCCUGACGGAGCAACGCCGCGUGAGUGAUGAAGGUCUUCGGAUCGUAAAACUCUGUUAUUAGGGAAGAACAAAUGUGUAAGUAACUAUGCACGUCUUGACGGUACCUAAUCAGAAAGCCACGGCUAACUACGUGCCAGCAGCCGCGGUAAUACGUAGGUGGCAAGCGUUAUCCGGAAUUAUUGGGCGUAAGGCGCGCGUAGGCGGUUUUUUAAGUCUGAUGUGAAAGCCCACGGCUCAACCGUGGAGGGUCAUUGGAAACUGGAAAACUUGAGUGCAGAAGAGGAAAGUGGAAUUCCAUGUGUAGCGGUGAAAUGCGCAGAGAUAUGGAGGAACACCAGUGGCGAAGGCGACUUUCUG